AGUGAACGCUGGCGGUAGGCCUAACACAUGCAAGUCGAACGGCAGCACAGUAAGAGCUUGCUCUUACGGGUGGCGAGUGGCGGACGGGUGAGGAAUACAUCGGAAUCUACUUUUUCGUGGGGGAUAACGUAGGGAAACUUACGCUAAUACCGCAUACGACCUACGGGUGAAAGCAGGGGAUCUUCGGACCUUGCGCGAUUGAAUGAGCCGAUGUCGGAUUAGCUAGUUGGCGGGGUAAAGGCCCACCCAGGCGACGAUCCGUAGCUGGUCUGAGAGGAUGAUCAGCCACACUGGAACUGAGACACGGUCCAGACUCCUACGGGAGGCAGCAGUGGGGAAUAUUGGACAAUGGGCGCAAGCCUGAUCCAGCCAUACCGCGUGGGUGCAGAAGGCCUUCGGGUUGUAAAGCCCUUUUGUUGGGAAAGAAAAGCAGCAGGUUAAUACCCCGCUGUUCUGACGGUACCCAAAGAAUAAGCACCGGCUAACUUCGUG
rnacentral:rRNA from 1 species